rnacentral:misc_RNA from 1 species
GAUGAAGAACGUAGCGAAAUGCGAUAAGUAAUGCGAAUUGCAGAAUUCCAGUGAGUCAUCGAAUCUUUGAACGCACAUUGCGCCCUUUGGUAUUCCGAAGGGCAUGCCUGUUCGAGCGUCAUUAUCACCCCUCAAGCCCUCGGCUUGGUGUUGGACGGUUUGGUGGAGGCCCCGUCGGGGGCUCCUGCCCCUCCCAAAGACAAUGACGGCGGCCUCGUUGGACCCCCGGUACACUGAGUUCUUCACGGGACACGUAUCGGACACAUGGGUUUACGGGACACGGUCUGCCUCCCCUCAGGGAGAAUCUUUCUAAGGUUGACCUCGGAUCAGGUAGGGAUACCCGCUGAACUUAAGCAUAUCAAUAAGCGGAGGA